GCCCGGGACAGAGUCAGGUUUCCCCCGCAAGGGUGAGGCGCUUAGGCUUUGCGUUCCGGACAGAACUCCCUUCUGUCUGAAUGACCUCGUGGGUCGCCCUGUGGUUCGGCCCUUGGUGAGUUCGAGUGUGUUUGUUCCCGAAUCCCUGACUCGGUGCGUUUGAGACCGUGGGCUUGUCCUUCACGGUGUUGGCCGCAGGCAGCUCGGUCACUGGGCAGACUCAGGGGCAGACGGAAAAUUUCGGUGACCCGGCGACCAUUCUGAUGACACAUUUCUUCUCAGACGCUGGGACCGAGGUGGCUGGCGGGGCGUAGGGCCGGCUGGUGAGGGCGGCCCUUGUGUCCCUGAAGCUCCGCUCGGUGGGGCGGUCGCUCAGCUGUGACUAGAGGGACCGGUUUGGUUUCCAAGCUGGAGACUCCGUGCUCCUGGCGGAAUGUGAAGCUGAACGCCGGGGGCAGGGGCGCAAUGGCUUCUUUCUCUCUGAAAUGAGGGAACAGAAGCCCCCGGCCUCCUCGGGACCAAGGGUUCUGCCUCCGGGGACGCCGCCCAAGGGCUGGAGUCACGGGCCUCUGGGUGGUGACAGAGCAAGACUCCAUGAGCCACGGGAGUGAGGUCACCCCAGGCACAGAAGCACCGCAAGUCGGCAUCACAGUCAGCGCGCUCUGCUGGCUCAGCGGACACUGCGGGGACGGAGCAUUUUCUGCAUUUUCUGAUGGAGGUUUAACCUCAGGCGGGCACCUCCGCGGCCAGUUUCCAGCUCUCGGCCCAGUGAGUGGAUGUGAUGGAGGAGGAGGCCGUGGAGGUGGAUGGGGCCCCGGCUGGAGUGGGACGCUGCUGUCAGGUGGGUCCCAUCUUGUCCGGUCUGAUGCGCAGCUGCCCGGGGCCUCCCUGCCAGGAGCGUUGCUUGAUGCAUGGGACGGCCCUUCCAUCUCGUCUGGGAAGCCUGGGGAGCUUGCGGCUGGAGGAACGGGCUCCUCCUCCCCGCAGGGAAGGCUCCCCGCUGUUCACCCCCUCAGGGCAGCAGAGCUGGUGCUGAGAGCGAAGUUCUUGAAUGUGGAAUCUGGGGGGCUUCCUUGGGUCUCCUUCCAAGAUGGUGGGAGGCAGGGAUGGAUGAUGGCUGUAACCGCUCCGACCUUUUCCCUUUGCUCCCAGGCACCCAUUAAAGGCCUCUGUGUGUGUACAGCAUGUAGAAGGCUUUCCAGCAUAAAUAUCAAGGUAACAUCUCAGUAGAGGCAGAAACCAGUCACUCAGGAUGCCUUUUCUUGGCUUGGAAUUCAACUGUUCCCUCGCACAAGAUGACAGCCAGCAGUUUACAGGCCGCAGAGUCUGGAAGACUUAUUCUGGAAGGAAAAGCCAAGUUGCAACAGGCCUUCCAGCAAGUGAAGGCUACAGCUGGGUGCGGCUGCGCUGGGGGGCAGCCCCUGAGGCGGGGGGCGGACUAGACCACCGGCCCCGCUCUGGGAGACAUGAGGUCCAAGGACAGCCAGCCGGCCUGCCCACCCGCGUCAGCACGGUCCCCGAGGAAUUUGAUCUGCUCUGGGUCCCCACGGCCAGACCUCCAGGCCCAUCCAGACCACCCUGCUCUGGUCAGAGCCACACACUUGGAAAUUAUGAAGAAAUCCAAUUCAGAAAACUGGAAGACUGAGUAGGAGGGGAGUCUCAGGGUGGCCUUCCUGUGGGAGGGACGCCCAGGGACCGAGGCUGUGUUUUCUCUGAGCAGAACAAGACCCCACAAGCCUGAGGCACGUGAUGUCGCCCUGGGCACUCAAGGGAGAGAGGUGCACUGUCACUCGGCUGAGGAAGUCCCUGGAGGCUUGAGGAAAGGGCUGCUGGCGCCUUCGUCUUCAAAGAAAUGUCCUCCAUUGUCGCUUGACGCCUGUAUCUUCUGGUGAGGAAACCGAGGUCUGAGAGCAGAAACCCAAAGGCCGAGGGCCAGAGCUGGUGGGGUGGGGACGCGGCCUCGCAGGGGCUGUGCUCAGUGGCUCCGGCCCCUGCGGGAGGCAGGCUGACGCCGGUCUUUCCCAGCACGAGGAGUGGGGGUUCUCUUUCUCUGCAUCAGCACAGGCCCCCAGCGGCAGGACAGUCAUUUUUGAUACGGUUGCCACUUUCCAGGCCAGAAAAGGCAGCUCAGAGCAGACAUACGAGGCUGAGCCCAGGAAUCAGACCUGCAACCCAGCGCCGAUUCUCACUCUGCACUUCUCCAGGCACCAGGUGCUCUGCGUUAUGCGCUCUGGGAGGCCCAGCCACGCGGGGCCGGGGUGGCCCGAUGAGGGAGCGGAAGGAAGAGGCUCUGCUGCCUUCACCCGGUGCCGACGUCCCCGCUGUGUGUUCUCCUCCUCGUCUCCACCUCGGAAUCAUGCUUUCCCAGCUUGCUUCGGGGGCCUCAGGUACAAGUUCGUGUCCUGGGGCUACCCACCCUUCCCACAGGCACGUUACAGCCCCGGGAGUGUCAGCCCCCACAUCAGACUGAGACAAGGCUGAAAUCCCCUGGAUUCGAGUCCCCAGUGGGGUGGGGGCGGGGCGGCCAGUUCCUGAAGAAGCCGGCUGCUCCCCAGUGUAGUACAUGGACUCGUGGCCGCUGGGCCUUCUCCCCCUUUCUGGGGGUUUGUACACAGAGAUACAUGGACAGAGGGAAGGAGGGGAGUGCUGGGAUGCCUGGGCCCCGCGCGUCCGCCUGACGUCGUGCGUCCGCUGUGAGCUCCUGGAACUCAGGGGAAGGGGGGGGGUUUGGUUCCUGGCCCGGGGCCCCCUCGAGGCGGUGCUCAGCCGUGGCUUCACCCAGCGUCUCCGGCUCCUCCGAGAACCUAUUUCAGAGGCCUUGGUCGUGGGAUCUCAGGACAAGUGGAUUUUAAAGCCAUUUAGGGUGGCCUGAUCCUUCAGUCCUUUACCCAUGGCUGGUGCCAUUAACUCCUCCCUCCGAAAAAGAAAAAAAAAAACCAAAAUGGUUUCUUGAACUAAUAAAGAUGCCAACAUGCUGGAGGAGGACGCUGAAAAUA